UAUGCAGUCGAGCGGUACAGAAAGUAGCUUGCUACUUUGCUGACGAGCGGCGGACGGGUGAGUAAUGCUUGGGAACAUGCCUUGAGGUGGGGGACAACAGUUGGAAACGACUGCUAAUACCGCAUAAUGUCUACGGACCAAAGGGGGCUUCGGCUCUCGCCUUUAGAUUGGCCCAAGUGGGAUUAGCUAGUUGGUGAGGUAAUGGCUCACCAAGGCGACGAUCCCUAGCUGGUUUGAGAGGAUGAUCAGCCACACUGGGACUGAGACACGGCCCAGACUCCUACGGGAGGCAGCAGUGGGGAAUAUUGCACAAUGGGCGCAAGCCUGAUGCAGCCAUGCCGCGUGUGUGAAGAAGGCCUUCGGGUUGUAAAGCACUUUCAGUCAGGAGGAAAGGUUAACGGUUAAUACCCGUUAGCUGUGACGUUACUGACAGAAGAAGCACCGGCUAACUCCGUGCCAGCAGCCGCGGUAAUACGGAGGGUGCGAGCGUUAAUCGGAAUUACUGGGCGUAAAGCGUACGCAGGCGGUUUGUUAAGCGAGAUGUGAAAGCCCCGGGCUCAACCUGGGAACUGCAUUUCGAACUGGCAAACUAGAGUGUGAUAGAGGGUGGUANAAUUUCANGUGUAGCGGUGAAAUGCGUANAGAUCUGAANGAAUACCGAUGGCNAAGGCAGCCACCUGGGUCAACACUGACGCUCAUGUACNAAAGCGUGGGGAGCAAACNGGAUUAGAUACCCCNGUAGUCCACGCCGUAAACGA
rnacentral:rRNA from 1 species